rnacentral:rRNA from 1 species
CCUACGGGGAGCUGCAGUAGGGAAUAUUGCUCAAUGGGGGAAACCCUGAAGCAGCAACGCCGCGUGGAGGAUGACGGUUUUCGGAUUGUACACUCCUUUUGUUAGAGAAGAUAAUGACGGUAUCUAACGAAUAAGCACCGGCUAACUCCGUGCCAGCAGCCGCGGUAAUACGGAGGGUGCAAGCGUUACUCUGAAUCACUGGGCGGAACGAGCGCGUAGGCGGGAUAGCAAGUCAGAUGUGAAAUCCUAUGGCUUAACCAUAGAACUGCAUUUGAAACUGUUAUUCUUGAGUAUGGGAGAGGUAGGUGGAAUGCUUGGUGUAGGGGUAAAAUCCGUAGAGAUCAAGAGGAAUACUCAUUGCGAAGGCGACCUGCUAGAACAUAACUGACGCUGAUGCGCGAAAGCGUGGGGAGCAAACAGGAUUAGAUACCCCUGUAGUC